rnacentral:rRNA from 1 species
GAUGAACGCUGGCGGCGUGCCUAAUACAUGCAAGUCGAGCGAACAGACGAGGAGCUUGCUCCUCUGACGUUAGCGGCGGACGGGUGAGUAACACGUGGAUAACCUACCUAUAAGACUGGGAUAACUUCGGGAAACCGGAGCUAAUACCGGAUAAUAUAUUGAACCGCAUGGUUCAUUAGUGAAAGACGGUUUUGCUGUCACUUAUAGAUGGAUCCGCGACGCAUUAGCUAGUUGGUAAGGUAACGGCUUACCAAGGCGACGAUGCGUAGCCGACCUGAGAGGGUGAUCGGCCACACUGGAACUGAGACACGGUCCAGACUCCUACGGGAGGCAGCAGUAGGGAAUCUUCCGCAAUGGGCGAAAGCCUGACGGAGCAACGCCGCGUGAGUGAUGAAGGUCUUCGGAUCGUAAAACUCUGUUAUUAGGGAAGAACAAAUGUGUAAGUAACUAUGCACGUCUUGACGGUACCUAAUCAGAAAGCCACGGCUAACUACGUG